UACGGGGGGGGCAAGCGUUGUUCGGAAUUACUGGGCGUAAAGGGCUCGUAGGCGGCCAACUAAGUCAUACGUGAAAUCCCUCGGCUUAACCGGGGAACUGCGUCUGAUACUGGAUGGCUUGAGAUUGGGAGAGGGAUGCGGAAUUCCAGGUGUAGCGGUGAAAUGCGUAGAUAUCAGGAGGAAUACCGAUGGCGAAGGCAGGUCUCUGGGCUGACACUGACGCUCAUGCACGAAAGCGUGGGGAGCAAACAGG
rnacentral:rRNA from 1 species